rnacentral:rRNA from 1 species
ACUGAACGCUGGCGGCAGGCUUAACACAUGCAAGUCGAGCGGAGAUGAGGUGCUUGCACCUUAUCUUAGCGGCGGACGGGUGAGUAAUGCUUAGGAAUCUGCCUAUUAGUGGGGGACAACAUUCCGAAAGGAAUGCUGAUACCGCAUACGUCCUACGGGAGAAAGCAGGGGAUCUUCGGACCUUGCGCUAAUAGAUGAGCCUAGGUCGGAUUAGCUAGUUGGUGGGGUAAAGGCCUACCAAGGCGACGAUCUGUAGCGGGUCUGAGAGGAUGGUCCGCCACACUGGGACUGAGACACGGCCCAGACUCCUACGGGAGGCAGCAGUGGGGAAUAUUGGACAAUGGGGGGAACCCUGAUCCAGCCAUGCCGCGUGUGUGAAGAAGGCCUUAUGGUUGUAAAGCACUUUAAGCGAGGAGGAGGCUACUGAGACUAAUACUCUUGGAUAGUGGACGUUACUCGCAGAAUAAGCACCGGCUAACUCUGUGCCAGCCGCCGCGGUAAUAC